GAGGCGAACCGGGGGAACUGAAACAUCUAAGUACCCCGAGGAAAAGAAAUCAACCGAGAUUCCGAAAGUAGCGGCGAGCGAAAUUGGACUAGCCCUUAAGCUUUACACGCGUUAGACGAACGGUCUGGAAAGUCCGACGAUACAGGGUGAUAGUCCCGUAGUUGACGACGUGUGUUCAGUGAAAUCGAGUAGGGCGGGACACGUGAUAUCCUGUCUGAAUAUGGGGGGACCAUCCUCCAAGGCUAAAUACUACUGACUGACCGAUAGUGAACCAGUACCGUGAGGGAAAGGCGAAAAGAACCCCUGUGAGGGGAGUGAAAUAGAACCUGAAACCGUGUACGUACAAGCAGUAGGAGCAGGCUUUGUCCUGUGACUGCGUACCUUUUGUAUAAUGGGUCAGCGACUUAUAUUCAGUGGCAAGGUUAACCAUCUAGGGGAGCCGUAGGGAAACCGAGUCUUAACUGGGCGUUCAGUCUCUGGAUAUAGACCCGAAACCAGGUGAUCUAGCCAUGGGCAGGUUGAAGGUUGAGUAACAUCAACUGGAGGACCGAACCGACUAAUGUUGAAAAAUUAGCGGAUGACUUGUGGCUAGGGGUGAAAGGCCAAUCAAACCUGGAGAUAGCUGGUUCUCCCCGAAAGCUAUUUAGGUAGCGCCUCGGACGAAUACUACUGGGGGUAGAGCACUGUUAAGGCUAGGGGGUCAUCCCGACUUACCAACCCUUUGCAAACUCCGAAUACCAGUAAGUACUAUCCGGGAGACACACGGCGGGUGCUAACGUCCGUCGUGGAGAGGGAAACAACCCAGACCGCCAGCUAAGGUCCCAAAUUACUACUAAGUGGGAAACGAUGUGGGAAGGCUCAGACAGCCAGGAUGUUGGCUUAGAAGCAGCCAUCAUUUAAAGAAAGCGUAAUAGCUCACUG
rnacentral:rRNA from 1 species